rnacentral:lncRNA from 1 species
GUUCAAGGCCGUAGCUACCAUUGAGGCAAGUGAGGCAAUUGCCUCACUAAAAUUUCGACACUGAUUAAUUUUUUUUAUACAUAAAUAUAAAUAUAAUAGUCUUCUGUUGUUCUGUCUCAACCUUGAUUUCUAUAACUUGUCAUCAUUCCUUUUAAACUACUCUUCCUGGAUAUAACUCAGCAUCUCAACGGGUGAUGUUUCUCAAUUACAUUAACCUAGUAACGAUAAUCAUCAUGGAUCUCUAAUUAAAAACAGGCCCUUGCAGAAAAAGGAAAAGCGACACUGAAGGUAAAGAAGGAAUAAUUCUAGUAAACUAUUUUUGUGAACAGAGUAUGAAUAUUGCAUAUAACUUCAUUAGUACGAUCCAAAAACGAUAAGUAGACUGACAAAUCAAGUACUGGUCUUCGGAAGAGGGCAGUCUUGUCUGCGUAUUCAUUUCUCCGUUUCACCAACUUUUGACAAAUCAAGUACUGGGCAUCGCAAAGGGGCAGUCCUGUCUGCGUAUUCAUUUCACGAACUUUAAUCU